rnacentral:rRNA from 1 species
AGUGCUUAACUGCAUUUUUUUACACAUGUGUUUUUCUUUUUUUUUGAAAACUUUGCUUUGGUGGGCCCAUGGCCUGCCAGAGAUUAAACUCAACCAAAUUUUUAUUUAAGUCAACUGAUUAACUAAUAGUCAAAACUUUCAACAACGGAUCUCUUGGUUCUCGCAUCGAUGAAGAACGCAGCGAAAUGCGAUAAGUAAUAUGAAUUGCAGAUAUUCGUGAAUCAUCGAAUCUUUGAACGCACAUUGCGCCCUUUGGUAUUCCAAAGGGCAUGCCUGUUUGAGCGUCAUUUCUCCCUCAAACCUUCGGGUUUGGUGUUGAGCGAUACGCUGGGUUUGCUUGAAAGAAAGGCGGAGUAUAAACUAAUGGAUAGGUUUUUUUCCACUCAUUGGUACAAACUCCAAAAUUCUUCCAAAUUCGACCUCAAAUCAGGUAGGACUACCCGCUGAACUUAAGCAUAUCAAUAAGCGGAGAAA